rnacentral:rRNA from 1 species
UAAGGAAUAUUGGACAAUGGUCGCAAUACUGAUCCAGCCAUGCCGCGUGCAGGAAGACGGCCCUAUGGGUUGUAAACUGCUUUUGUACCAGAGAAAACCUAUCUACGUGUAGAUAGCUGAUAGUAUGGUAAGAAUAAGCAUCGGCUAACUUCGUGCCAGCAGCCGCGGUAAGACGAAGGAUGCAAGCGUUAUCCGGAUUCAUUGGGUUUAAAGGGUGCGUAGGCGGGCUUGUAAGUCAGUGGUGAAAUCUCUCAGCUUAACUGAGAAACUGCCAUUGAUACUGCAGGCCUAGAGUAUAGAUGACNUUGGCGGAAUAUGACAUGUAGUGGUGAAAUACUUAGGUAUGUCAUAGAACACCGAUUGCGAAGGCAGCUAACGAAACUAUAACUGACGCUGAGGCACGAAAGUGCGGGGAUCAAACA